rnacentral:rRNA from 1 species
AUUGAACGCUGGCGGCAGUCCUAACACAUGCAAGUCGAACGAGUGGCAGACGGGUGAGUAAUGUCUGGGAAACUGCCUGAUGGAGGGGGAUAACUACUGGAAACGGUAGCUAAUACCGCAUACAAUCGGAUGUGCCCAGAUGGGAUUAGCUAUUAGGUGGGGUAAAGGCUCACCUAGGCGACUAUCCCUAGCUGGUCUGAGAGGAUGACAAGCCACACUGGAACUGUUGCACGGUCCAGACUCCUACGGUAGGCAGCAGUGGGUAAUAUUGCACAAUGGGCGCAAGCCUGAUGCAGCCUUGCCGCGUGUAUGACGAAGUCCUUCGGGUUGUAAAGUACUUUCAGCGGGGAUGCGUUACCCGCAGAAGAAGGACCGGCUAACUCCGUGCCAGCAGCCGCGGUAAUUC